rnacentral:rRNA from 1 species
GAUGAACGCUGGCGGCGUGCCUAAUACAAGCAAGUCGAGCGAACAGAUGAGAAGCUUGCUUCUCUGAUGUUAGCGGCGGACGGGUGAGUAACGCGUGGGUAACCUACCUAUAAGACUGGGAUAACUCCGGGAAACCGGGGCUAAUACCGGAUAAUAUUUUGAACCGCAUGGUUCAAUAGUGAAAGACGGUUUCGGCUGCCACUUAUAGAUGGACCCGCGCCGUAUUAGCUAGUUGGUAAGGUAACGGCUUACCAAGGCGACGAUACGUAGCCGACCUGAGAGGGUGAUCGGCCACACUGGAACUGAGACACGGUCCAGACUCCUACGGGAGGCAGCAGUAGGGAAUCUUCCGCAAUGGGCGAGAGCCUGACGGAGCAACGCCGCGUGAGUGAUGAAGGUCUUCGGAUCGUAAAACUCUGUUGUUAGGGAAGAACAAAUUUGUUAGUAACUGAACAAGUCUUGACGGUACCUAACCAGAAAGCCACGGCUAACUACGUGCCAGCAGCCGCCGUAA